rnacentral:lncRNA from 1 species
AAGAGGAGGGCAUGGCUUCUUAUGAAAUGGAGGGAUCUUUGGGAUUGGAGGCAGUGGCUUAUAAAUUGGAACUGGAGGUGGUAAAGGCUUGUAGAUGGGAAUAGGAGGUGGUAGAGGCUUGAAGAUUGGUGGUUUUGGUUUUGGCUUGUAAAUUGGCACUGGAGGUGGCUUGAAGAUUGGUGGCUUUGGCUUAGGCUUGUAGAUGGGAAUAGGAGGUGGCAGAGGCUUGAAGAUUGGUGGUUUUGGUUUUGGCUUGUAAAUUGGCAAUGGAGGUGGCUUGAAGAUUGGUGGCUUUGGCUUGUAGAUCGGAACAUGAGGUAGAGGUGGCUUCUUGUAGAUUGGAGGGAAGACCUUUGGCGGGAGUGGAGGAUAGACCUUAGGUGGGAAUAGGUAAGGAUGGUGAAAGUUUUUCAAUGGUGGAAGUUUCCAUGUAGGCAAUGGAAGCGGUUUAGUUAUCGGUGGAUGAGGCCACAAGAAUGCAGAAGUGCAAGUAACAGGUGAAAAUUUCAGUUUCCCUGCGAGCCCGAAUGUGUG